rnacentral:rRNA from 1 species
UACGAAGGGGGCUAGCGUUGCUCGGAAUGACUGGGCGUAAAGGGCGCGUAGGCGGCUGGUACAGUCAGAUGUGAAAUUCCCGGGCUUAACCUGGGGGCUGCAUUUGAUACGUAUUGUCUUGAGUUCGGAAGAGGGUCGUGGAAUUUCCAGUGUAGAGGUGAAAUUCGUAGAUAUUGGAAAGAACACCGAUGGCGAAGGCAGCUCGCUGGGACGGUACUGACGCUGAGGCGCGAAAGCGUGGGGAGCAAACAGG